AUAUUGCAAAGAGGGAUCGCCACAUUUCCUUUGCACUUAGCUGUAGAGACAGGAAAUCUCUGGCCACUACUUGGUAACUUUGCAUGAAGACUCUACAAGGCUUCACACAAGAUCCUGCUUGUUGCCCCAGGUUCUGACUCAGUCCCUGUCUUGCAAGAAUGGAUCAGUGGCUGAGAAACUGGUUCCCUGAAGCAUAGAAACGAGAAGACAAGCAAUAACAUGAGUCUUAACAUGCAUACAAUUGAAAACAGAGGAUGUUCUCAAGUGUAAUUUGAGUAAUUGGCAUGACAACAUUCUCAGAGACUCUUCCCAUCCUACUUACAAUCUUUUUGGACUGUUGUCUUCUGGCAGAAGAUACGGGACAAUUAAAACUUGGACCACACGUCUUCUGAAUAGUUUUUAUCCCAGAGCUACAAUUGCACUCAACAAUGAACUAAAGGGCCACUGAUUGUGAGCUGUUGGACAGCAUUACUUGGUCUGUUGUGUGGAUGUUUGGGUGGUUUAGGGGUGGGGAAUUUUGGUGGGUGCGGUGUCUGGGGAUUGUCAUGUGUGUUGGGCUUGGUCUCUGGGUGUUAUGUGAAUUUCGUUGUAUGGGUAUACUGUGUAUAUACGUACAAUGACAAUAAACUUUAUAUAUGAUGUUA